rnacentral:tRNA from 1 species
GCGCCCGUGGUCUAGAGGUAUCUUGGCUUGGAUUCCAUCUAAGUCGGUCUCCAGAGGACCCAAGCUUCCCAAGCUUGUGGCACGGGUUCGAUACAGACCCUUUAGAAAAGUGUCUUUACUCCCAAAAACUUGGAAACGCUUUGCGUUCCCCAGAGAGGAGAAAAUCCCGUCGGGCGCACCA